GUGCUCGCUUCGGCAGCACAUAUAUUAAAAUUGGAAUGAUACAGAGAAGAUUAGCAUGGCCCUUGUGCCAGGAUGACAUGNGAAUCCNUGAAACGUUCCAUAUAUAA
rnacentral:snRNA from 1 species